rnacentral:rRNA from 1 species
AGCAGCCGCGGUAAUUCCAGCUCCAAUAGCGUAUAUUAAAGUUGUUGCAGUUAAAAAGCUCGUAGUUGAAUUUCGGGGUUAGUAGGCUGGUCGUGCCACAGGUAUGUACUGGUCUUACUGAUUCCUCCUUCCUGAUGAACCGUAAUGUCAUUAAUUUGGUGUUGCGGGAAAUCAGGACUGUUACUUUGAAAAAAUUAGAGUGUUUAAAGCGGGCACGCGCUUGAAUACAUUAGCAUGGAAUAACGAAAUAGGACGUUCGAUCUUAUUUUGUUGGUUUCUAGGAUUGACGUAAUGAUUAAUAGGGAUAGUUGGGGGCAUUAGUAUUCAAUUGUCAGAGGUGAAAUUCUUGGAUUUAUUGAAGACUAACUACUGCGAAAGCAUUUGCCAAGGAUGUUUUCAUUAAUCAAGAACGAAAGUUAGGGGAUCGAAGACGAUCAGAUACCGUCGUAGUCUUAACCAUAAACUAUGCCGACUAGGGAUCGGAUGAUGUUAAUUUUUUAAUGACUCA